UAUGUUCUGUUUCCCAAGGAAACAAUUGCUGGAAGUGUGACUCUUUGGUAUAAAAAUGGUAAAAUUGGAAAGAAGCUCUGAUCAGCCACUUCUCACCUUGAGAGUUGACUUCCUUCAAUCCUCCCUACAUAGUGAUUUCCCAGGUUUCAUUAGACACCAUCUCUGAAUUUAAAUGUGAAAAUAAAAUAACAACUCUGUGACUCUGAAACAGCAUUGGUAUGUAGAUAGGUAACUGUAGUCAGCGAAGUGAUUAUUUUUCACUCAACUAGUUUUCGUGACAGCAUCUAUUAUGUUUUCAGGCACCUGACUAUUGGAAAUUACAAAUAUAGCCUUAUUACAACCCUAUGGUGUAAGCAUUAUUAUACCUGCUCAAGACACUGUAGCGUUAGCAUCUGGUGAAGUCAGAAUUUGACCCAGGCUGUCUUUCUCCAAGUCUACUUGUUUCCAGUUUGCCUGGAACCUUUGUGCUGCUCGCACAUAUCUCCAGCCUUCUGCCUUCUGAGCACAGGGCACAGUGGCACUUCCCUACCAUCCUGUUGUGAAGCAUGGUCAUGCCCUGUGUUUCAGCUGAGGAAAUGGGAGCGAAGAGCCAAUAGCCUUUUGCUUUCUUUUCCUCUGGUGCCACAAAGACCUUCCAGGUGGUAGUGGCUCUGUCAGUCAUGUCCCAGAGUGAAGACAACAUGAAAAAGAAUCCCCAGCACAGCUCAGGAUGGGCGUGGAACAGGAGUGAAAGGGAAUCUGAGCUGUUUAAGGUCACUACUCUCCAGGCAUUGUGUAUUAUCACAGCAUAACCUAAUAUUAUUAAACAUGAUUUAUGACUAAAUGACAGAUAUUUUUUUACAAAGUACAUAAGUGUAUUGAGUCAAAUGCAUGGCACAGGUAAUUAUGCACUGCCAUGCACACGUGUGGGUUGCUUUCUCAGAGUCCAUUCACCUCUUCCGAUAAUGGGGCCUUGACUUCGCACUGGGGUAUUUACCUUCUCAGCCGCCUAAGGGAUGCUGAACUAAGGCUUGGCUCCAGAGAGAAGCCCAGACUAGUUGAAACCAGUCCUCUCUCCCUAACUACAGGGAUGGUUCAGAACUGGGCACAAGCCUAACUUGGCACUAACAGCAAAACCCAGGACUUAAGCAAGAGGUAUGGGGAGAUGCAGGGGAUGAGAGGACCACUUUCUGUGAAACAGUUAUUUGAUAUCAUCUGUGUGUCAGGCAAUUUGCUAAAAGCUUUACAGGCUUUAUUUUAUCAAACCAUCACAUCAGUGCUAUAACACAAAUAUUAUCAGCCUCAUUUUAUAGAUGAGUAAAUGGGAGCUGAGAGAGAAGUUAAAACUCAAGGUCAUUAAAUAAGUAUGUGAUAGAUCAGAGAUUCAAAUUAUAUUUACAUGAUUGCAAAACCCAAAGUCUUUCAAUUACAUUACAUUAUAAAAUAAAUUUUAGUAUUAAGGACAUUUCUAUUUUAGCAAAUAUGGAAAUUCUCUAUUAAUACAUCUUAAACAAAAAAAAAAUGGAAAUAAUCUGUUCAACCCUGCUAGCAAGGGAGUUUGGGAAAUAAAAUUGCCAGGCUUCUAGACACAUUUAUAUAGGAGAGAGCAAAGGAAGGAAGGUGUGGGUGAACAUUAUUCCAUAGGGACGUCACAUAUAUGUGGUGGUUGCCAAAAUGCACCUCCACUGUCUACAGGCUGCUCUCUCUGAUGUCAUUUAUGUAACACAUUUAUGUAACAUCAUGAUGUGUGAUGUUAGUUAAUUCAUUCACAAAGCUAGACCUUUUUUCAAAUCUGCAGUAACUGUAGAAGAAAGAAUACAAAGAAACAAGUUGAGGAAUCCUUGGUCACCACUAUAUCCCCAGCACCUGUCAAAGUGGUAUACAGAUAAGAGACAAUAAAUGUUCAGUAACAAAUAUUUUCUUUUUAGCCAGCAUUUUACCAUUAGUCACCUACUUUGAACCACCAAACAUACCAAUCUCCAUGCUGAUGGGAAUAUAAAUUAUAUGUUCCCUCUGGCAGACAAGCUGGUAAAAUACAUCAAAGCCUUAAGAAUGUAUAUACUCUAUGAUCUGGCACCUGAAUCACUCCAUGAUUCUAGGACCAAGAUAAAUAACAGAAAUAGUGUAUGAGGAUGGCACAUUUAUAAUAUGAAAAA
rnacentral:lncRNA from 1 species